UGGCUCAGGAUGAACGCUGGCGGCGUGCCUAAUACAUGCAAGUCGAGCGAAUGGAUUAAGAGCUUGCUCUUAUGAAGUUAGCGGCGGACGGGUGAGUAACACGUGGGUAACCUACCCAUAAGACUGGGAUAACUCCGGGAAACCGGGGCUAAUACCGGAUAAUAUUUUGAACUGCAUAGUUCGAAAUUGAAAGGCGGCUUCGGCUGUCACUUAUGGAUGGACCCGCGUCGCAUUAGCUAGUUGGUGAGGUAACGGCUCACCAAGGCGACGAUGCGUAGCCGACCUGAGAGGGUGAUCGGCCACACUGGGACUGAGACACGGCCCAGACUCCUACGGGAGGCAGCAGUAGGGAAUCUUCCGCAAUGGACGAAAGUCUGACGGAGCAACGCCGCGUGAGUGAUGAAGGCUUUCGGGUCGUAAAACUCUGUUGUUAGGGAAGAACAAGUGCUAGUUGAAUAAGCUGGCACCUGACGGUACUACC
rnacentral:rRNA from 1 species